rnacentral:rRNA from 1 species
GAUGAACGCUGGCGGCGUGCCUAAUACAUGCAAGUCGAGCGAACAGACGAGGAGCUUGCUCCUCUGACGUUAGCGGCGGACGGGUGAGUAACACGUGGAUAACCUACCUAUAAGACUGGGAUAACUUCGGGAAACCGGAGCUAAUACCGGAUAAUAUAUUGAACCGCAUGGUUCAAUAGUGAAAGACGGUUUUGCUGUCACUUAUAGAUGGAUCCGCGCCGCAUUAGCUAGUUGGUAAGGUAACGGCUUACCGAGGCGACGAUGCGUAGCCGACCUGAGAGGGUGAUCGGCCACACUGGAACUGAGACACGGUCCAGACUCCUACGGGAGGCAGCAGUAGGGAAUCUUCCGCAAUGGGCGAAAGCCUGACGGAGCCACGCCGCGUGAGUGAUGAAGGCCUUCGGAUCGUAAAACUCUGUUAUUAGGGAAGAACAAAUGUGUAAGUAACUAUGCACGUUUUGACGGUACCCAAUCAGAAAGCCACGGCUAACUACGUG